rnacentral:rRNA from 1 species
UACGUAGGGGCCUAGCGUUGUCCGGAAUCAUUGGGCGUAAAGAGCUCGUAGGCGGUUCGGCAAGUCACGUGUGAAAUCUCCACGCUUAACGUGGAGGCGCCACGUGAAACUGCCGUGACUCGAGUCCGGUAGGGGAGUGUGGAAUUCCCGGUGUAGCGGUGAAAUGCGCAGAUAUCGGGAGGAACACCAGUAGCGAAGGCGGCACUCUGGGCCGGUACUGACGCUGAGGAGCGAAAGCGUGGGGAGCGAGCAGG